rnacentral:rRNA from 1 species
UCGGGAAUUUUGGGCAAUGGGGGAAACCCUGACCCAGCAACGCCGUGUGAAGGAUGAAGUAUUUCGGUAUGUAAACUUCGAAAGAAUAGGAAGAAUAAAUGACGGUACUAUUUAUAAGGUCCGGCUAACUACGUGCCAGCAGCCGCGGUAAUACGUAGGGACCAAGCGUUGUUCGGAUUUACUGGGCGUAAAGGGCGCGUAGGCGGCAUGACAAGUCACUUGUGAAAUCUCUGGGCUUAACCCAGAACGGCCAAGUGAUACUGUCGCGCUAGAGUGCAGAAGGGGCAAUCGGAAUUCUUGGUGUAGCGGUGAAAUGCGUAGAUAUCAAGAGGAACACCUGAGGUGAAGACGGGUUGCUGGGCUGACACUGACGCUGAGGCGCGAAAGCCAGGGGAGCAAACGGGAUUAGAUACCCACGUAGUCCCUGAGCGGGCUGGCAAGGCGCAU